AUGUAAGCGUUGAAGAGGAUUAUUAGUUCCCCAAUCGAUCAUGCAGAGAGCCGGUGGCAGGGUGAAAGCCGGUUGACGAUAGGAAUGAACUCGCCUUGGAGCUGCGAUGUCAACCCGGGAACAGCAGGGACCGAUGAAGCAUCGACGUCUCAUCCGCGAUAAGGAUGCAAGAGUGAGCGAAGGGCAAAGCAUGCCUUUGGCUAACUAGGGUGGUACCACGGGAAUCAAACCUCUCGUCCCUAGC
rnacentral:ncRNA from 1 species